rnacentral:rRNA from 1 species
AUUGAACGCUGGCGGCAGGCUUAACACAUGCAAGUCGAGCGGAGUGAUGGUGCUUGCACUAUCACUUAGCGGCGGACGGGUGAGUAAUGCUUAGGAAUCUGCCUAUUAGUGGGGGACAACAUCUCGAAAGGGAUGCUAAUACCGCAUACGUCCUACGGGAGAAAGCAGGGGAUCGCUUGUGACCUUGCGCUAAUAGAUGAGCCUAAGUCGGAUUAGCUAGUUGGUGGGGUAAAGGCCUACCAAGGCGACGAUCUGUAGCGGGUCUGAGAGGAUGAUCCGCCACACUGGGACUGAGACACGGCCCAGACUCCUACGGGAGGCAGCAGUGGGGAAUAUUGGACAAUGGGGGGAACCCUGAUCCAGCCAUGCCGCGUGUGUGAAGAAGGCCUUAUGGUUGUAAAGCACUUUAAGCGAGGAGGAGGCUCUUUUGGUUAAUACCCAAGAUGAGUGGACGUUGCUCGCAGAAUAAGCACCGGCUAACUCUGUGCCAGCCGCCGCGGUAA